rnacentral:rRNA from 1 species
UACGUAGGGUGCAAGCGUUGUCCGGAAUUAUUGGGCGUAAAGAGCUCGUAGGCGGCUUGUCGCGUCGGCUGUGAAAACCUGGGGCUCAACCUCGGACUUGCAGUGGGUACGGGCAGACUAGAGUGUGGUAGGGGAGACUGGAAUUCCUGGUGUAGCGGUGGAAUGCGCAGAUAUCAGGAGGAACACCGAUGGCGAAGGCAGGUCUCUGGGCCAUUACUGACACUGAGAAGCGAAAGCAUGGGGAGCGAACAGG